rnacentral:rRNA from 1 species
AUGCACGCUGGCGGCGUGCCUAAUACAUGCAAGUCGCGCGAACAGACGAGGAGCUUGCUCCUCUGACGUUAGCGGCGGACGGGUGAGUAACACGUGGAUAACCUACCUAUAAGACUGGGAUAACUUCGGGAAACCGGAGCUAAUACCGGAUAAUAUAUUGAACCGCAUGGUUCAAUAGUGAAAGACGGUUUUGCUGUCACUUAUAGAUGGAUCCGCGCCGCAUUAGCUAGUUGGUAAGGUAACGGCUUACCAAGGCAACGAUGCGUAGCCGACCUGAGAGGGUGAUCGGCCACACUGGAACUGAGACACGGUCCAGACUCCUACGGGAGGCAGCAGUAGGGAAUCUUCCGCAAAGGGCGAAAGCCUGACGGAGCAACGCCGCGUGAGUGAUGAAGGUCUUCGGAUCGUAAAACUCUGUUAUUAGGGAAGAACAAAUGUGUAAGUAACUAUGCACGUCUUGACGGUACCUAAUCAGAAAGCCACGGCUAACUACGUG